rnacentral:lncRNA from 1 species
CUCAGGUGUGGUCCAUCCAUCCCCUCAGUGUUUCCCUCGGUCCUGAGGAUGCUCAGGUGUGGCCCAUCCAGCCCCUCAGUGUUUUCCUCGGUCCUGGGGAUGCUCAGGUGUGGUCCAUCCAGCCCCUCAGUGUUUCCCUCGGUCCUGAGGAUGCUCAGGUGUGGCCCAUCCCUCCCCUCAGUGUUUUCCUCGGUCCUGGGGAUGCUCAGAUGUGGCCCAUCCAUCCCCUCAGUGUUUCCCUCGGUCCUGAGGAUGCUCAGGUGUGGCCCAUCCAUCCCCUCAGUGUUUUCCUCUGUCCUGGGGAUGCCCAUCCCCUUAGUGUUUUACCUCCAACUUUCUCUAUUUUUUGUUUCCAGUCUUCCCACACAGGUUGAGAGAGGAGGGGAUCCAAUUGCCUGUGAGGAGGACACGGCUCCUGGGUGGACCCUGCAGAUUGUGAAGUUCAAGUCACAGCUCCUGGGAAGGUCUCUGUGUGUAAAGAUCGUGGGGGUGAGACAGAUUCAGGGACCACACUCUGCUCUGCUCUGUACCUCUGAGUGUCGAUCCAGCUGCCUUGUGACCAGGACACUUAGAAGAAGCAUGGACCCUGCAAGAGGAUGGGCUCAAGGACAGCUUGCCUGACUGCAGCCAUAAGGAUGAAGCCUCUUCAGGUCAUUUGGCCAAUUUAAUGCCGACAGAAGAGGCCACCAUCUGAAUGUAAUUUAUCUCCUCUUUCAUCUCCUUUCAUUCCCCUCCUCCUUUUU